GAUGAAGGUUUUCGGAUCGUAAACUCCUGUUGUUAGGGAAGAACAAGUUGGGUAGUACUGACCCAACUUGACGGUACCUAACCAGAAAGCCACGGCUAACUACGUGCCAGCAGCCGCGGUAAUACGUAGGUGGCAAGCGUUGUCCGGGAAUUAUUGGGCGUAAAGCGCUCGCAGGCGGUCUUUUAAGUCUGAUGUGAAAGCCCACGGCUUAACCGUGGAGGGUCAUUGGAAACUGGAGGACUUGAGUACAGAAGAGGAGAGUGGAAUUCCACGUGUAGCGGUGAAAUGCGUAGAGAUGUGGAGGAACACCAGUGGCGAAGGCGACUCUCUGGUCUGUAACUGACGCUGAGGAGCGAAAGCGUGGGUAGCGAACAGGAUUAGAUACCCUGGUAGUCCACGCCGUAAACGAUGAGUGCUAGGUGUUAGGGGGUUUCCGCCCCUUAGUGCUGAAGUUAACGCAUUAAGCACUCCGCCUGGGGAGUACGGCCGCAAGGCUGAAACUCAAAAGAAUUGACGGGGGCCCGCACAAGCGGUGGAGCAUGUGGUUUAAUUCGAAGCAACGCGAAGAACCUUACCAGGUCUUGACAUCCUCUGAUACCUCUAGAGAUAGAGUUUUCCCUUCGGGGACAGAGUGACAGGUGGUGCAUGGUUGUCGUCAGCUCGUGUCGUGAGAUGUUGGGUUAAGUCCCGCAACGAGCGCAACCCUUGAUCUUAGUUGCCAGCAUUCAGUUGGGCACUCUAAGGUGACUGCCGGUGACAAACCGGAGGAAGGUGGGGAUGACGUCAAAUCAUCAUGCCCCUUAUGACCUGGGCUACACACGUGCUACAAUGGAUGGAACAAAGGGAAGCGAACCCGUGAGGUCAAGCCAAUCCCAUAAAACCAUUCUCAGUUCGGAUUGUAGGCUGCAACUCGCCUACAUGAAGCCGGAAUCGCUAGUAAUCGCGGAUCAGCAUGCCGCGGUGAAUACGUUCCCGGGCCUUGUACACACCGCCCGUCACACCACGAGAGUUGGUAACACCCGAAGUCGGUGAGGUAACCUUUUGGAGCCAGCCGCCGAAAGGGGGA
rnacentral:rRNA from 1 species